rnacentral:rRNA from 1 species
CUAAGAAUAUUCCGCAAUGGACGGAAGUCUGACGGAGCGACGCCGCGUGGAUGACGAAGGCCGAAAGGUUGUAAAGUUCUUUUGCUGGGGAAGAAUAACCGCAGGAGGGAAUGCCUGUGGGAUGACAAGAACCGGCGAAUAAGCCCCGGCCAACUACGUGCCAGCAGCCGCGGUAACACGUAGGGGGCGAGCGUUGUUCGGAAUUACUGGGCGUAAAGGGCAUGUAGGCGGCUUGGAAAGCCUGGCGUGAAAGUCUGCAGCUUAACUGCAGGGGUGCGCUGGGAACUGCUGAGCUUGAGUGACGGAGAGGGAGCUGGAAUUCCUGGUGUAGGGGUGAAAUCUGUAGAUAUCAGGAAGAACGCCGAUGGCGAAGGCAAGCUCCUGGCCGAUGACUGACGCUGAGGUGCGAAAAGUGUGGGGAUCAAAACAGGAUUAGAUACCCUGGUAGUCCACACAGUCAACGAUGUGCACUAGGUGCUGGGGCGGCAGCUUCGGUGCCGGAGCGAACGUGGUAAGGUGCACCGCCUGGGGAGUAUGCUCGCAAGGGUG